AGGAAGUAAAAGUCGUAACAAGGUUUCCGUAGGUGAACCUGCGGAAGGAUCAUUAAUGAAUUUUUGAAAUGGGGUUGUAGCUGGCUCUAAAUCGGGGCAUGUGCACACCCUAUUCAUCCGUUUCUAUACACCUGUGCACCUUUUGUAGGUCGGUCGUACGGGGAAGCCGAAAGGCUUUCUUAGGUCUUCCUACGUUUUUAUUAUUUUAAACCCUUGAAUGUCUUUGAAUGUCUUUGCAUUAAUAAUGCAUUUAAUACAACUUUCAGCAACGGAUCUCUUGGCUCUCGCAUCGAUGAAGAACGCAGCGAAAUGCGAUAAGUAAUGUGAAUUGCAGAAUUCAGUGAAUCAUCGAAUCUUUGAACGCACCUUGCGCUCCUUGGUAUUCUGAGGAGCAUGCCUGUUUGAGUGUCAUGGAAUUAUCAAUCCCCCUUUAUUUUAUUGUAAAGGCGGGCUUGGAAUUGGAGGUUUUUUUUGUUGGCCGCAUUAAUGGUGGUCAGCUCCUCUUGAAUACAUUAGCUUGAGCCUUUAACGGGUCGGCUUAUCGGUGUGAUAAAUUUAUGCCGUGGUCGGUUUCGUGAAUAAAUUCAAGCUUCUAAUCGUCCUUGUUGAAGGGACAAAAUACAUUUGACCUCUGACCUCAAAUCAGGUAGGAUUACCCGCUGAACUUAAGCAUA
rnacentral:rRNA from 1 species